rnacentral:rRNA from 1 species
AGCGUACACGGUGGAUGCCCUGGCAGUCAGAGGCGAUGAAGGACGUGCUAAUCUGCGAAAAGCGUCGGUAAGGUGAUAUGAACCGUUAUAACCGGCGAUGUCCGAAUGGGGAAACCCAGUGUGAUUCGUCACACUAUCGUUAACUGAAUACAUAGGUUAACGAGGCGAACCGGGGGAACUGAAACAUCUAAGUACCCCGAGGAAAAGAAAUCAACCGAGAUUCCCCCAGUAGCGGCGAGCGAACGGGGAGCAGCCCAGAGUCUGAAUCAGCUUGUGUGUUAGUGGAACGGUCUGGAAAGUCCGACGGUACAGGGUGAUAGUCCCGUACACCAAAAUGCACAGGUUGUGAACUCGAAGAGUAGGGCGGGACACGUGGUAUCCUGUCUGAAUAUGGGGGGACCAUCCUCCAAGGCUAAAUACUCCUGACUGACCGAUAGUGAACCAGUACCGUGAGGGAAAGGCGAAAAGAACCCCGGCGAGGGGAGUGAAAAAGAACCUGAAACCGUGUACGUACAAGCAGUGGGAGCACCUUCGGGUGUGACUGCGUACCUUUUGUAUAAUGGGUCAGCGACUUAUAUUCUGUAGCAAGGUUAACCGUAUAGGGGAGCCGCAGGGAAACCGAGUCUUAACUGGGCGUUAAGUUGCAGGGUAUAGACCCGAAACCCGGUGAUCUAGCCAUGGGCAGGUUGAAGGUUGGGUAACACUAACUGGAGGACCGAACCGACUAAUGUUGAAAAAUUAGCGGAUGACUUGUGGCUGGGGGUGAAAGGCCAAUCAAACCGGGAGAUAGCUGGUUCUCCCCGAAAGCUAUUUAGGUAGCGCCUCGUGAACUCAUCUUCGGGGGUAGAGCACUGUUUCGGCUAGGGGGUCAUCCCGACUUACCAACCCGAUGCAAACUACGAAUACCGAAGAAUGUUAUCACGGGAGACACACGGCGGGUGCUAACGUCCGUCGUGAAGAGGGAAACAACCCAGACCGCCAGCUAAGGUCCCAAAGUCAUGGUUAAGUGGGAAACGAUGUGGGAAGGCACAGACAGCCAGGAUGUUGGCUUAGAAGCAGCCAUCAUUUAAAGAAAGCGUAAUAGCUCACUGGUCGAGUCGGCCUGCGCGGAAGAUGUAACGGGGCUAAACCAUGCACCGAAGCUGCGGCAGCGACACUAUGUGUUGUUGGGUAGGGGAGCGUUCUGUAAGCCUGCGAAGGUGGCCUGUGAGGGUUGCUGGAGGUAUCAGAAGUGCGAAUGCUGACAUAAGUAACGAUAAAGCGGGUGAAAAGCCCGCUCGCCGGAAGACCAAGGGUUCCUGUCCAACGUUAAUCGGGGCAGGGUGAGUCGACCCCUAAGGCGAGGCCGAAAGGCGUAGUCGAUGGGAAACAGGUUAAUAUUCCUGUACUUGGUGUUACUGCGAAGGGGGGACGGAGAAGGCUAUGUUAGCCGGGCGACGGUUGUCCCGGUUUAAGCAUGUAGGCGGAGGUUCCAGGUAAAUCCGGUACCUUUUAACGCUGAGGUGUGAUGACGAGGCACUACGGUGCUGAAGUAACAAAUGCCCUGCUUCCAGGAAAAGCCUCUAAGCAUCAGGUAACAUUAAAUCGUACCCCAAACCGACACAGGUGGUCAGGUAGAGAAUACCAAGGCGCUUGAGAGAACUCGGGUGAAGGAACUAGGCAAAAUGGUGCCGUAACUUCGGGAGAAGGCACGCUGGUGUGUAGGUGAAGUCCCUGCGGAUGGAGCUGAGACCAGUCGAAGAUACCAGCUGGCUGCAACUGUUUAUUAAAAACACAGCACUGUGCAAACACGAAAGUGGACGUAUACGGUGUGACGCCUGCCCGGUGCCGGAAGGUUAAUUGAUGGGGUUAUCCGUAAGGAGAAGCUCUUGAUCGAAGCCCCGGUAAACGGCGGCCGUAACUAUAACGGUCCUAAGGUAGCGAAAUUCCUUGUCGGGUAAGUUCCGACCUGCACGAAUGGCGUAAUGAUGGCCAGGCUGUCUCCACCCGAGACUCAGUGAAAUUGAACUCGCUGUGAAGAUGCAGUGUACCCGCGGCAAGACGGAAAGACCCCGUGAACCUUUACUAUAGCUUGACACUGAACAUUGAGCCUUGAUGUGUAGGAUAGGUGGGAGGCUUUGAAGCGUGGACGCCAGUCUGCGUGGAGCCAACCUUGAAAUACCACCCUUUAAUGUUUGAUGUUCUAACGUAGGCCCCUGACCGGGGUUGCGGACAGUGUCUGGUGGGUAGUUUGACUGGGGCGGUCUCCUCCCAAAGAGUAACGGAGGAGCACGAAGGUUAGCUAAUCCUGGUCGGACAUCAGGAGGUUAGUGCAAUGGCAUAAGCUAGCUUGACUGCGAGCGUGACGGCGCGAGCAGGUGCGAAAGCAGGUCAUAGUGAUCCGGUGGUUCUGAAUGGAAGGGCCAUCGCUCAACGGAUAAAAGGUACUCCGGGGAUAACAGGCUGAUACCGCCCAAGAGUUCAUAUCGACGGCGGUGUUUGGCACCUCGAUGUCGGCUCAUCACAUCCUGGGGCUGAAGUAGGUCCCAAGG